rnacentral:rRNA from 1 species
UACAUGGGGUGCAAACAUUGCUCGGAAUUAUUGGGCGUAAAGCGCGCGUAGGCGGUUACUUAAGUCGGAUGUGAAAGCCCUCGGCUUAACUGAGGAAGUGCACCCGAAACUGAGUAGCUAGAGUACGAAAGAGGGUCGCGGAAUUCCCGGUGUAGAGGUGAAAUUCGUAGAUAUCGGGAGGAACACCGGUGGCGAAAGCGGCGCACUGGACCUCUACUGACGCUGAGGCGCGAAAGCCAGGGGAGCAAACGGG